AUUGUACAUAUCAGACUGACUCAAAUUUUCUUUGCUGCUCUGUACAUACACAUGAAAGGGCCAUUUAUGUUUGAUUUGGGGUUACUAACUUUAGUAAGUGAACUCUCAAAUACAAAAUCUAUGAAAAAUAAGUACAGACGAACUAAUUUAACAUGUAUUUUUUUUUAGGGCCACACCGACGGCCUGGAGCCCUAUGGAGGUUCCAGGUUAGGGGUACAAUCUGAGCUGUAGCUGCUGGCCAUGCUGUAGCUGCUGGCUGUGACUGUGGUGUAGGCUGGUGGCUACAGUCCAAUUCCACCCCUAGCCUGGGAACUUCCAUUUGCAGUAUCUGUGGUCCUAAAAAAUAAUUAAUUAAUUAAAAUAUUCCUGUAGAAAUUUUGAAAAUACAGAUGAUGGUAAGUGUUACCCACUAUCAAAACCAUGCAGAGAUGUCCUGAGAACAGGGUAUUUCUUUCCAGAAAUCACUUUUAAAUUACUUUCAAAUUUAGAAUAAUACUAUAUAUAAAAUUCUUUUUGUUCACCUGUAAUUAUAAUAUAGACAUUUUUCCAAGUCAGUUAUUCCUCAAAAACAUAUUUUAACUGCUGCAUAUUUCCCCAUCGCAUAGGACAGCUGUCAAAAUCACUUUUCAGCCUAUAACUUGCUUAAUUUCUCAACAAUAUUAGACACUAUUGACUAUUCCUUUUGUCUGCAUUUCUACUCAAAUGUGGAUGAAGCCUGGUCUUGUCCCUCCAUAUAAAAAGGAGUGUCCUCUUCACACUCAGCUUUCCUAUUGCCCUGUUUAACCUGCUUAAUGUCUCUCCAAAACAGUUAUUGCCAUCUGAUAUACAUACUCUUCUCAAAUUGAGUGUCGUCUAUCUCCUCCAUAGCAAAGAUAAAGGAACAACCUAAAUGCACAUCAGUGGAUGAAUGGAUAAAGAUGUGUAAUGGAAUAUUACUCAGCCAUAAGAAAGAAUGAAAGUUUGCCAUUUGCAACAUGAAUGGACUAAAGGGUAUUAUGCUUUAAUAAAAUAAGUGAAAUAAGUUAGAGAAAGAUAAAUACUGUAUUUUUAUCUUUUUAUAUGUGGAAUCUAAAAAAUAAAACAAAUGAAUAUAACAAAAUAGAAACACAUCCAUAGAGAACAAACUAGUGGUUACCAGUGGAGAGAGGGAAGUGAGGAGGGGCAACAUAGGAGUAUGGGAUUAAGAGGUACAAGCUACUAUGUGUAAAAUAGAUAAGCAACAAAAAUAUGUAAGAUAGUACAGGGAAUCAUAGUCAUUAUCUUAUAACUUUUAAUAGAUGAUAACCUUACUGAAUCACUAUGCCGUAUAACUGAAACUAAUAUAAAAUUAUAAUUCAACUAUAGUUCAAUUAAAAAAAAAAGCUGUUACCAACUAUCUAAGUAAACUUAUUCAGUUUUCUCUUUUCAUGUAAAUUAAAUAACUAAAUUUUGAACCAUAUAACAAAGUGUGGAUGAUUUAUUCAUUUCAUCAGUCUAUCCAACAAUAUGUUUAAGGCCCUGUUAUGUAAUGUGAAAGGAACUAAAUAGUCAUUCUUCCCCUAAAUAUCCCAAGUGUUAGUGGUCAAAGGUUCUUUCAGUUGAAACUGAGAAAUAUCCAUUAGGAUGCAAGAAACAGACACCUCGAGGGCUCCAUCUGGUAUAAUAUCAUAUUUGUUUGACCACAUAUUUACUUGUUUAAACAAGCAAUAAAACUGCUUCUAUAAUUUUUUCUGUUUUAUUUUUACUGAAGUCCAGUUGACAGCCACAUAUUUUUAUUGAAGUAUAAUUGACUUACAAUAUUAGUUUGAGGUAUAAAACAAUGAUUUUGUAUUUUCAUACAUUACAAAAUGGUUAUAUUAACAAGUUACCAUCUGUAACCAUACAAAGUUAUUACAGUAUUGUUGACCACAUUCUCUAUGCUGUACAUUACAUCCCUGUGACAUUUUAUAACUGUAAGUUUGGACUUCUUAAUCAUCUUCUUCAUGUUUCACCCAUUCUCCCAUCCACUUCCACUCUGGCAACCACCAGUCUGUUCUCUGUAACUAUAAGUCUGUUUCUGUUUUAUACUUGUUCAUUUGUUUUUUUUAGAUUCCACAUACAAGAGAAAUCAUGUGGUAUUUGUCUGAUUUACUUCACCUGGCACAAUACCCUCUAGGUCCAUCAAAGUUGUUACAAAUGCAAAGUUUCAUUUUUUGAUAUCGCAUAUAUAUAGACAUAUAGAGAUAUAUUAGAUUUAAAUAUAUAUUAGAAUAUUCAAACAUAUAUAUUAUAGGAUUUUAUUUAUUUAUUUAUUUAUUUAUUUAUUUUAGGGCCGCACACAUGGUAUAUGGAAGUUCCCAUGCUAGGGGUCAAAUCAAGCUGUAGUUGCUGGCCUACACCACAGCCACAGCAACGUGAGAUCUGAGCCAUGUCUGCAACCUUCACCACAGCUCACAGCAAUGCCAGCCCCAUGACUCACUGAGCAAUGCGAGGGAUGAAACCAGCAUCCUCAUGGUUACUAAUCAGAUGUUUCUGCUGAGCCACAACAGGAACUCCUGAUCACAUGAUUUUAAUCCUUCAUUUUGUUAAUAUAGUGUAUCAAUUUGAUUUCUUUGUGAAUAUUGAAUCAUCCUAUCUCUGGCAUAAAUCCCACUUGAUCAUGAUGUAUAAUCCUUUUAGUAUUGUUGAAUUCAGUUUGCUAAUAUCUUUUGAGGAUUUUUGCAGCUAUGUUUAUCAGUGAUAUUGGCCUGUAAUUUUCCUUUUUUGUGAUGUUUUGAUAGAUUGGGUAUGAGUGCAAUGACAGCCACGUAUUUUUUGUGUCAGUGGUUUUAUAUAAUGAUUUUUAUUUUUAUCCAUUGCAAUAAAUACAUAUCUAUCAAUAAUCACCUUAAAUAUCAAUGCACUGAAUACACCAAUCAAAAGACACAGAGUGGCAGAUUGGAUAAAAAAGCAAAAAUCUUCAAUCUGCUGUCUACAAGAAACUCACCUUAGGGCAAAGGACACAGAUAGAUUGAGAGGAUGGGAAAAGAUAUUUCAUGCCAAUGGAAAAGACAAGAAAGCAGGAGUUGCAAUACUCCUAUCAGACAAAAUAGACUUUAAAAUUAAGGCCAUAAAGAAAGACAACGAAGGACACUAUUUAAUGGUAAAAGGAGCGAUUCAAGAAGAGGAUAUUACAAUUGUCAAUAUAUAUGCCCCUAAUAUAGGAGCACCCAGAUACCUACAACAGAUACUAACAGACAUAAAAGGAGAAAGUGAUGGGAAUACAAUAACAGUAGGACACUUUAACACCCCACUCACAUCCAUGGACAGAUCCUCUAGACAGAAAAUCAAUAAGGCAACAGAGAUCCUAAAGGACACAAUAGAAAGUGAGACUUAAUUGACAUUUUCAGGACAUUACAUCCAAAAAAAUCAUAAUAUACAUUCUUCUCAAGUGCACAUGGAACAUUCUCAAGACUUGAUCACAUACUGGGGCACAAAGCUAUCCAGACACUUUUUUUUUUUUAAUUAGGCCCUGAACAUUUAAAAAUCUGAUAGCUUAAAACUAAAAAAAGAAGACUUCUAGCUUCUCUUGAAAAACUGAGCUCUGACAAUCAAUGAAAUUAUAGAACAGCAGGAGUGUGUUACCCUUCAUUUGGAGUUAUGUUUUCUCCAGCUCCCCACAUUUUUCCAUUUCAGGUUGUCUCCUCCUCAAUGAGGUCAGGUGUCAAGGCUGUUUAUAUGGCACUUGCACAGCUGGUUUUCUUAUACUGGAGUUGAACAUGACCUGUUUUUAACAUCCAUGUCUCUACCAUGAAAAAUUAAAAGCUAAUCCAAGGAGAUACAUGUUUUAAGAAAAAUGGAGAAAGCACAAUUCUUUAGGAAGUGAAGAGUACUCUUUAUAUCCAAAUAUGUUAAAAAAAAUUAUGUCUUAAAAAAAAAUACAGUUUAAGAAACAAUUACCCAAAAACUUCCAAUUGAUAUUCUCUAAUAUAUUUUCAGCAUUAAGAAGGAAUUAGGUUAGUCUUGUGUCCCACCGAUCUCUUACGCUACACAUAUUUCUAAAAAUACUGUAAGCACUAAGUAAAUAUUUGGAAUAUUAUAAACAUGGAGAAUAUUACAGAUAUAAGGGAGAGCAGGAACUGCUUUAAUAUUAAGUAUCAAAUAUAAGUUUGAAAUGUAAUAAAUCCGAUAAUUGUUUUUCUUCCCCUACAAUGUCUACUUUUCUAAAUUUGGAAGUAGAACUACACACUGCUUCUCCCCCCAUUUCUCCAUCAAAGCCAAAUCAAAUCAAGUAUAGAAUUUUUAAAUGUGUAUUAAAAACAACUCCUUCUCCCUUCUUCCCGCUGAUAAUAAAAUUUAUUUUAUUAUGCUAUGGACUAGGUACAGUGAUAAAUGCUGGGUAAACACUGAAGAGCUAAAAAGGUAUAAGUCUUUUUAUAAGGACUUAUUAAUGAGCAAGUUAAUAAAUAUAUUAUUUGAUAUACAAGUAAACAGAUAAGUAGGUAAGUACAUAUUGUAUUAAGUACUACAAAGGAAACCAAGUAUGCUAUAAUGGAGAAUAACAUGGGAUGGGAAUGGGAAUCUAUUCAGCUUUGUCAGGGAGGAUCUAGAUCUGAGAAGGUAACACAUAGGCAAAGAUCUGAAUGAAACAUAAGGAGUCAAUCUUACAGAAUAAGUGGGGCCGGCAUUUUCAAAAAAGCCAGCAUAUUUCACACUAUUUACUUAUUGAUCUUAUCUUGAACAAUGGGUUCUUUGUUUCAUGGCACCUUUGACACCAAGAGAUGCAGAGUGAUGCCUGUUCAGAAGCAGAUGUAGGUAGGUUUCUGUUCCUGAUCUCCUGUGGAAAGAAAAAUCAAUGGCAAGUAAAACCAAGCCAUUAGCUCAGAUAGGGUCUGCUACAGAUGAUAUUUUGUUGCCUGUAAGAGUAAAUGGGUACUCAUCUUAGUCAAAACCACAGAGGUGGAGUUUAUGUUCAUUGUCCUCCCAUCUCCCUUUGUAUGACCCUCUCCCAGUUUCUGACACUCAUACCCACUACAGCACGAGAGCAAGCA
rnacentral:lncRNA from 1 species